GCUUAAUUAAAAUAAGAUGCAACAAAUGAUAAAAUUAAACCGGAGAAAUAUAAAAUUUUAAUUUAAAACUAAGAAGAGUUAGGAAUGUGAAACUAAAAAAGCAAAAUGUAAAAAACAAGUCGAAAAUUUGUACAUGCCUUAUUUAAAAAAAUAUUAAUAUUUUUAACUUUUGAAUUUAAUAUUUUAUUUGCAAAAAGUUUAUUCGCGUUCAUUGAAGAGAUUUUGUUUUAACAAUUCCCUAAAAAAUAAUAUGGGUGUUAUAACCAGAUAACUUCAUAACCAAGUACACACCCGCGAAAGAAAGAUAAUCAGGCCAAUUCCUAAUACUCCCGGGGAGUUUGUUCACCGGGAAUUUGUUUCUUCCGAGAAAGAAAUACCGCAAUAAUUAACUCCCAGGAGUAGCAUUUUCCCCGAAAACUUGGGAGGAUUAAAUUCGAACUUCGAAAAAGCUGUUUGACACUUCUUUGAGAGCUCAACUCCGCCAUUUAGUAUAAAAAAUCCUCAAGGAAUUUUUAUUCAUGAAAGGAGGAAAGGGAAAAGAGAGAAAAUUCCCGGGGAGUUUUUGUUCAGAAUCGGCCUGAAUAUGUGUACAAAAUAAUGUAGAUUUCUGCAUGGUUAUCAGGUUAACUGGUUAUAUUUUUAUCCAGUUUCCAACAAUCAUAAACUGUGAGAAGUAAUAAUCAGAUAACUAGAUAAUCUAAUAAACAUAUAAAUGUGAAUACAAUUGGAAAAUAUAAAUUUUUGAUAUCAAAAUAAUAUGGAUGCUCACAUCCGCCAUGUUGUGUUUUGUAUUAAAUUUACGAUAAUAAUGUACAUUGCAGUAUUAUAUUUUUUAAGCAGGUUACCUAAUAACCAGAAUGAUAUAAAUACCUGUACUAUUUUCUUAUAAAAAAAGACAUGUAUUAACUUAAUUUAAAUGGGGGAUAAAAAUAUUUAUUUUAAACAAAAUCAAGUAACAAAAUAUUGGAAAAAAAAUAGAUUCUGUAACCUUUUUUACAUUAUGCAUAUUCAUUACUUCUGGUUUAUGGAUAUUUGGCUGGUUGGGUGAAUGAAAACAAAAAACACAUAAUCAGAUAAACCGACAAGCGUAAAGAUGUGGAUGGACACCUACUUUAUUUAAUAAAUACUUAAAAAGUCAAGAAGCAUAUUAUCUGAUUAGAACAAUUGGCCUUUGAACAAAUACUCCUUAAAAUUAUAAAGUAAAAUAAAACAAUUUUUUUUGUUUUGCUUGUAAAUUCUUGUGAACAAUUUAUUCACAUGAAAUUAUGGAGCUGAUUGUUUUUAAUUUUUUUUUGCGCCAAUAAUUACCACUCAAUAUAUGUGUUUGAAACAAAAUCGAGCCUCUCUCAAGCUCCCCCCUCAUCGGCA